rnacentral:rRNA from 1 species
UUGAACGCUGGCGGCAUGCCUUACACAUGCAAGUCGAGCGGCAGCGCGGGGGCAACCCUGGCGGCGAGCGGCGAACGGGUGAGUAAUACAUCGGAACGUGUCCUUUCGUGGGGGAUAACCAGUCGAAAGACUGGCUAAUACCGCAUGAGAUCUCACGAUGAAAGCGAGGGACCGCAAGGCCUCGCGCGAUUGGAGCGGCCGAUGUCGGAUUAGCUAGUUGGCGGGGUAAAAGCCCACCAAGGCGACGAUCCGUAGCUGGUUUGAGAGAACGACCAGCCACACUGGGACUGAGGCACGGCCCAGACUCCUACGGGAGGCAGCAGUGGGGAAUUUUGGACAAUGGGCGCAAGCCUGAUCCAGCCAUGCCGCGUGUGUGAAGAAGGCCUUCGGGUUGUAAAGCACUUUCGGCCGGAACGAAAUCGCCUACGUUAAUAGCGGAGGUGGAUGACGGUACCGGAAGAAGAAGCACCGGCUAACUACGUGCCAGCAGCCGCGGUAAUACGUAGGGUGCGAGCGUUAAUCGGAAUUACUGGGCGUAAAGGGUGCGCAGGCGGCGUCGCAAGUCAGGCGUGAAAUCCCCGGGCUUAACCUGGGAACUGCACUUGAAACUACGAUGCUGGAGUAUGGCAGAGGGAGGUGGAAUUCCACGUGUAGCGGUGAAAUGCGUAGAGAUGUGGAGGAACACCGAUGGCGAAGGCAGCCUCCUGGGCCAAUACUGACGCUCAUGCACGAAAGCG